UUUCCGUAGGUGAACCUGCGGAAGGAUCAUUACAGUUUUUGCGUGUGCUUAAGUGCACCGCAUAUCCACACUGUGCGUACGCCACGAAUAUCUCCGGGAGCAUGCUCUCGGAUGUUAACUCAACAAACAGUUUUAUUAUCAGUCAUGAAUAACACAAAUAUUCAAAACUUUCAACAACGGAUCUCUUGGUUCUCGCAUCGAUGAAGAACGCAGC
rnacentral:misc_RNA from 1 species